CUCAACCCGGGAAAUGCAUUGGAAACCCCAUGUCUUGAGGGCCAGAGAGGCAGGCGCAAUUCGUGGUGUAGCGGUGAAAUGCGUAGAUAUCACGAGGAACAUCAGUGGUGUAGACGGCCUGCUGGAUGGACCCUGACGCUGAGGCACGAAAGCGUGGGGAGCAAACGGGAUUAGAUACCCCGGUAGUCCACGCUGUAAACGCUGGGCAUUAGGUGUAGGGGCAUCAUAGGCUCCUGUGCCGUAGCUAACGCAUUAAAUGCCCCGCCUGGGGAGUACGGCCGCAAGGUUGAAACUCAAAGGAAUUGACGGGGGCCCGCACAAGCGGUGGAGCACGUGGUUUAAUUGGAUGAAAAGCCAAGAACCUUACCAGGCUUUGACAUGUCAGUAGUAAGGAACCUGAAAAGGAUCCUGAGUCCUGCUUGCAGGACAGC
rnacentral:rRNA from 1 species